AGGACGAACGCUGGCGGCGCGCUUAACACAUGCAAGUCGAGCGAGAACCGGGACUUCGGUCCCGGGGACAGCGGCGAACGGGUGAGUAACACGUGGGUAAUCAACCCUCGGCACCGGGAUAGCCCGAGGAAACUCGGAUUAAUACCGGAUAGCCCCUCCGACUCUCGAGUCGGUCGGGAAAGGUAGCUUAGGCCUCUGGCCGGGGACGAGCCCGCGGCGGAUUAGCUUGUUGGUGGGGUAAUGGCCUACCAAGGCAACGAUCCGUAGCUGGUCUGAGAGGACGAUCAGCCACACUGGGACUGAGACACGGCCCAGACUCCUACGGGAGGCAGCAGUGGGGAAUCUUGCGCAAUGGGCGAAAGCCUGACGCAGCGACGCCGCGUGAGGGAAGAAGGCCUUGGGUUGUAAACCUCUUUCAGGGGGGACGAAGCUACUCGGGUUAAUAGCCCAGGAGGGUGACGGUACCUCCAGAAGAAGCCCGGCUAACUACGUGCCAGCAGCCGC
rnacentral:rRNA from 1 species